rnacentral:rRNA from 1 species
GACAUAGGUUGCGAACGUUAUCCGGAAUUAUUGGGCGUAAAGGGUGCGUAGGUGGCCUGACAAGUUAUCAGUGGCAAAUCGAGGCUCAACCUCGUGGAAACUGGUAAUACUGUCCGGCUUGAGUACAGGAGAGGUUAACGGAACUCUAUGUGGAGCGGUAAAAUGCACAGAUAUAUAGAAGAACAUCAAUAAAGGCGAAGGCAGUUAACUAUUCUGUUACUGACGUUGAGGCACGAAAGCGUGGGGAGCAAAACGG